GUGUUUUCCUUUUGGGGGCCUUGGGGGACGCUAUCGUUUAGCUUAACACAUCCAAGUCGUGGGAGAAUUUUGGUGUUUUGACCAAAAGGAGACCGGCGAAUGGGUGAGUAACGCGUAGGCAAUCUGCCUGGGAGACGGGGAUAACCCACCGAAAGGUGAGCUAAUACCGGAUGAUGCAGCGGGGUCGCAUGACCCUGUUGUUAAAGGUUUCGGCCACUCCCAUAUGAGCCUGCGUGCCAUUAGCUAGUUGGUGCGGUAACGGCGCACCAAGGCGAUGAUGGCUAGGGGGUCUGAGAGGAUGAUCCCCCACACUGGGACUGAGACACGGCCCAGACUCCUACGGGAGGCAGCAGUGAGGAAUCUUGCGCAAUGGGGGCAACCCUGACGCAACCCGCCCCGUGCCGGAAGACGGCCCUUUUGGUUGUAAACGGCUUUUAUGUGGGAAUAAAUUUCCCAAUUUUUUCGGGACUUACGGUACCCACCAGAAUAAGAACCGGCUUACUUCCUUU
rnacentral:rRNA from 1 species